rnacentral:rRNA from 1 species
CCUAUGGGCGGCAGCAGUGAGGAAUAUUGGUCAAUGGCCGAGAGGCUGAACCAGCCAAGUCGCGUGAGGGAAGACGGCCCUACGGGUUGUAAACCUCUUUUGUCGGGGAGCAAAGCGAGUCACGUGUGACUCAUUGAGAGUACCCGAAGAAAAAGCAUCGGCUAACUCCGUGCCAGCAGCCGCGGUAAUACGUAGGGGGCAAGCGUUAUCCGGAAUUACUGGGUGUAAAGGGAGCGUAGACGGUGAUGUAAGUCUGGAGUGAAAGGCGGGGGCCCAACCCCCGGACUGCUCUGGAAACUAUGUGACUGGAGUGCAGGAGAGGUGAGCAGAAUUCCUAGUGUAGCGGUGAAAUGCGUAGAUAUUAGGAGGAACACCAGUGGCGAAGGCGGCUCACUGGACUGUAACUGACGUUGAGGCUCGAAAGCGUGGGGAGCAAACAGGAUUAGAUACCCUUGUAGUC